AGAGUUUGAUCAUGGCUCAGAACGAACGCUGGCGGCAUGCCUAACACAUGCAAGUCGAACGAGACCUUCGGGUCUAGUGGCGCACGGGUGCGUAACGCGUGGGAAUCUGCCCUUGGGUUCGGAAUAACAGUUGGAAACGACUGCUAAUACCGAAUGAUGACUUCGGUCCAAAGAUUUAUCGCCCAGGGAUGAGCCCGCGUAGGAUUAGCUAGUUGGUGAGGUAAAGGCUCACCAAGGCAACGAUCCUUAGCUGGUCUGAGAGGAUGAUCAGCCACACUGGGACUGAGACACGGCCCAGACUCCUACGGGAGGCAGCAGUGGGGAAUAUUGGACAAUGGGGGAAACCCUGAUCCAGCAAUGCCGCGUGAGUGAUGAAGGCCUUAGGGUUGUAAAGCUCUUUUACCCGGGAUGAUAAUGACAGUACCGGGAGAAUAAGCCCCGGCUAACUCCGUGCCAGCAGCCGCGGUA
rnacentral:rRNA from 1 species